GACGAACGCUGGCGGCGUGCUUAACACAUGCAAGUCGAACGGAAAGGCCCUGCUUUUGUGGGGUGCUCGAGUGGCGAACGGGUGAGUAACACGUGAGUAACCUGCCCUUGACUUUGGGAUAACUUCAGGAAACUGGGGCUAAUACCGGAUAGGAGCUCCUGCUGCAUGGUGGGGGUUGGAAAGUUUCGGCGGUUGGGGAUGGACUCGCGGCUUAUCAGCUUGUUGGUGGGGUAGUGGCUUACCAAGGCUUUGACGGGUAGCCGGCCUGAGAGGGUGACCGGCCACAUUGGGCCUGGGAUGCGGCCCGGACUCCUACGGGAGGCAGCAGUGGGGAAUAUUGCACAAUGGGCGGAAGCCUGAUGCAGCAACGCCGCGUGCGGGAUGACGGCCUUCGGGUUGUAAACCGCUUUCGCCUGUGACGAAGCGUGAGUGACGGUAAUGGGUAAAGAAGCACCGGCUAACUACGUG
rnacentral:rRNA from 1 species